rnacentral:rRNA from 1 species
UUUGUGACAUACCUAUAACUGUUGCUUCGGCGGGUAGGGUCUCCGUGACCCUCCCGGCCUCCCGCCCCCGGGCGGGUCGGCGCCCGCCGGAGGAUAACCAAACUCUGAUUUAACGACGUUUCUUCUGAGUGGUACAAGCAAAUAAUCAAAACUUUUAACAACGGAUCUCUUGGUUCUGGCAUCGAUGAAGAACGCAGCGAAAUGCGAUAAGUAAUGUGAAUUGCAGAAUUCAGUGAAUCAUCGAAUCUUUGAACGCACAUUGCGCCCGCCAGCAUUCUGGCGGGCAUGCCUGUUCGAGCGUCAUUUCAACCCUCAAGCUCUGCUUGGUGUUGGGGCCCUACAGCUGAUGUAGGCCCUCAAAGGUAGUGGCGGACCCUCCCGGAGCCUCCUUUGCGUAGUAACUUUACGUCUCGCACUGGGAUCCGGAGGGACUCUUGCCGUAAAACCCCCAAUUUUCCAAAGGUUGACCUCGGAUCAGGUAGGAAUACCCGCUGAACUUAAGCAUAUCAAUAAGCGGAAGAA